CAUAGGGUUUUGUUUUUCUCUUUCUUUUUUCCAAGUUGAAAACUUGAUCACCUUGUGGUCAUUACCACCAUCACCAUGAUCAUCUCUUGCUCCACCACUUGGCAUGUACCAACCUCAUCUAAUCUAUACACUCACUUAGCAUAGAGGUUAGUACUUUGGGUUUCAUCAAUUAUCCAAAACCAAACAUGGGCUUUCAACCGGCCUAGCCAGUUUGGGAACUAGGUAGGCUGAUUUGUCUGUAUGAGUCUG
rnacentral:lncRNA from 1 species